UUUAUAUUUUACAAUAAAAGUAUUUAUGAUUUAAUUGGUUUAUUUAUAAUUCCAAUUAUUAAAGAAAGAGGAGUAAGAAUAUUGUUGGUGUUCUUAACUCAAAAGAAUUGUUUUCAAUUAUUUAUUCAUUAAAUUUUGAAAACCCGGCUAAGUGAAUCAUAGAAUGUUAAGCACUACACCAUGACUUAAGAUUAGAUUCAAUGAGACCUAUUAAGAAUAGAUUUCUUGUAGGCUUUGAACGUCAGGAGGAUUAGCACUGCUAUUCCGAUUCUGAGAUAAGGUUAAACGACAGGCUUUGCCUAUACAGGUUGGCUGGCUGGUGCUGACGGGACGGAGCUGAGGCUAGGGUCAAAUUCCUAUUUUAGACUUCCGUUGUAGCAAUCACUCAUAUCCGUCUUUUGACUAAAUUUAUGCUAAUGAAUGUCGGUUGUCAGAAGCAUGAAACAAAACUUGUGAUCCAAAGGGGCAUAGCCCGACUUGAUAUUUUAUUACUCGGCUUUAACAAGGUUUUUCCCUUGUUUAUUUCUAUGAAUUAUUCACACCUCGAUUAUAUUUA